rnacentral:rRNA from 1 species
UACAGAGGGGGCUAGCGUUGUUCGGAAUUACUGGGCGUAAAGGGCGCGUAGGUGGCCUGUUAAGUCGAACGUGAAAUCCCCGGGCUCAACCCGGGAACUGCGUCCGAGACUGGCAGGCUCGAAUCCGGGAGAGGGAUGUGGAAUUCCAGGUGUAGCGGUGAAAUGCGUAGAUAUCGAGAGGAACACCUGCGGCGAAGGCGGGUUGCUGGGCUGACACUGACGCUGAGGCGCGAAAGCCAGGGGAGCGAACGGG